UACGAAGGGGGCUAGCGUUGCUCGGAAUCACUGGGCGUAAAGCGCACGUAGGCGGCUUCUUAAGUCAGGGGUGAAAUCCUGGAGCUCAACUCCAGAACUGCCUUUGAUACUGAGGAGCUUGAGUCCGGGAGAGGGAUGCAGAAUUCCAGGUGUAGCGGUGAAAUGCGUAGAUAUCUGGAGGAAUACCGGUGGCGAAGGCGGCAUCCUGGACCGGCAUUGACGCUGAGGAGCGAAAGCCAGGGGAGCAAACGGG
rnacentral:rRNA from 1 species